GCGGCGUGCCUAACACAUGCAAGUCGAACGCGAAAGCCCGCAAGGGUAAGUAGAGUGGCGCACGGGUGAGUAACACGUGGACAACCUGCCUUCGAGUGGGGAAUAACCUUCCGAAAGGAGGGCUAAUACCGCAUAACAUCUCGGAGCACAAGUUCUGGGGUUGAAAAGAGCAAUUUGCUCGAAGAGGGGUCCGCGCCUGAUUAGCUAGUUGGUGAGGUAAUGGCUCACCAAGGCUUCGAUCAGUAGCCGUCCUGAGAGGGAGCACGGCCACACUGGAACUGAGACACGGUCCAGACUCCUACGGGAGGCAGCAGUGGGGAAUUUUUGGCAAUGGGCGAAAGCCUGACCAAGCAACGCCGCGUGGGUGAUGAAGUAUCUUGGUACGUAAAACCCUUUCGGCAGGGACGAACCUAAUGACGGUACCUGCGGAAGAAGCCCCGGCUAACUCCGUGCCAGCAGCCGCGGUAAUACGGGGGGGGCAAGCGUUGUUCGGAAUUACUGGGCGUAAAGGGCGCGUAGGCGGUUGGAUAAGUCAGCUGUGAAAACCACGGGCUUAACUCGUGGCCUGCAGUUGAGACUGUCUGGCUUGAGUGUGGGAGAGGAGAGUGGAAUUCCUGGUGUAGCGGUGAAAUGCGUAGAUAUC
rnacentral:rRNA from 1 species